ACGCAAUAGAUACCCGGGUAGUCCACGCCCUAAACGAUGUCUACUAGUUGUCGGGUCUUAAUUGACUUGGUAAACGCAGCUAAACGCGUGAAGUAGACCGCCUGGGGAGUACGGUCGCAAGAUUAAAACUCAAAGGAAUUGACGGGGACCCGCACAAGCGGUGGAUGAUGUGGAUUAAUUCGAUGCAACGCGAAAAACCUUACCUACCCUUGACAUGGAUGGAAUCCCUGAGAGAUUGGGGAGUGCUCGAAAGAGAACCAUUACACAGGUGCUGCAUGGCUGUCGUCAGCUCGUGUCGUGAGAUGUUGGGUUAAGUCCCGCAACGAGCGCAACCCUUGUCAUUAGUUGCUACGAAAGGGCACUCUAAUGAGACUGCCGGUGACAAACCGGAGGAAGGUGGGGAUGACGUCAAGUCCUCAUGGCCCUUAUGGGUAGGGCUUCACACGUCAUACAAUGGUACAUACAGAGGGCCGCCAACCCGGCGAGGGGUAGCUAAUCCCAGAAAGUGUAUCGUAGUCCGGAUUGUAGUCUGCAACUCG
rnacentral:rRNA from 1 species